rnacentral:rRNA from 1 species
UACGGAGGGGGUUAGCGUUGUUCGGAAUUACUGGGCGUAAAGCGCGCGCAGGCGGUCUUUCAAGUCAGGGGUGAAAGCCCAGAGCUCAACUCUGGAAUUGCCUUUGAGACUGGGAGACUUGGGUAUGGGAGAGGUGAGUGGAAUUCCGAGUGUAGAGGUGAAAUUCGUAGAUAUUCGGAAGAACACCAGUGGCGAAGGCGGCUCACUGGCCCAUUACCGACGCUCAGGCGCGACAGCGUGGGGAGCAAACAGG